AUACAAAACCAAACCGGGGCAACUCGGUCGUGGUGAUUCAUAAUAACUUUGCGAAUCGCAUGGCUUUACGCUGGCGAUGCAUCAUUCAAAUUUCUGCCCUAUCAACUUUCGAUGGUAAGGUAUUGGCUUACCAUGGUUAC
rnacentral:rRNA from 1 species